CAUUGCUGUGGCUGUGGUGUAGGCCAGCAGCUGUAGAUCCCACUCGACCCCUAGCCUGGGAACUUCCAUAAGCUGCAGGCACGAUCCUAAAAAGCAAAAAUAAUAAUUUAUGCUUAUCCAUCAGUUCUUAACUCUCAUUUGAACUGUUUGAAUUAGUGGAAGGCAGCAUUCUCAUAUUUUGUGAGCAAAGUAUUCUAUAAACGAGUUGAUUAAACUUGAGUAGAAAAGGUAGAUUUUGUACUUUUUACGCUGGUCGUCAUCAGUGACAGAGCUCGUCCAGUGAGACACAUGUAGAGAAUGGUGUGCCCUUGACGUGGGAGCAGAGAUAGUAGAAGCGGUUCCUGGGAGUGGGGUCCUGACCUUUUGCCUCAGUUUCUAAAGCCCAAGACUCUUUAACUACCUGCAAUUUUGUCAGAACAGUUUUGGGCAGAAUAAAUGUUAAAGAACAAAUUUUAAUAUGCUGCUUGAUACGGAACAUAACUAAGACACCAACCAGAUUUUAUUUAUUUGCAUGACUGGAAAACAUAACCCAGAAGCCUUUUCCUUGACCAUCUUCUUGUGAGCUAUCUUGACUUUACACCUUAAGCAACUUUUUAAGUCAAAGACAAUGAACUAAAUAUCUGUGUACAUUGAAUUUUGACAGAAUUAUUAACCAGAGGAAUUGCUUAUAAAGUCUGCUGAUUUAUUCGAUAUCCAGAGUUAAAUAUUUACUCAAGGACAGUUUUUAGCUAGUAAACUAAUGUCAUUUUACUCAUGUCAGGUUGGGCUGUUUAGUUUGUUUCCCCCACCCCCACCCCAGAGUAUUAGGCAUUCACGUCUUCUACUUGAGUAUGUGCCUUACUAAGUUUCGCCGAGCCCGUAGUCUCCUAGGCAGAAGGAGGUAACACUUCAGAGAGCGGCUGAACCAGACGAUGAAGAUAGGCACCCCCUUUGAUGACUGUAAGCUCGAGGUGUCUCCUGGAUUUGCUGAGAGAGACAUUAGCCAUAAGAACAGAUGCUAAGAGGGAAGACAGGUGUUUUCUUGUUCUUCUUCUUUUGUGUACCUCAGCGAAUGUGUUUAUUGACAUUUGCCCAUCAUCUUACUUUUGCCUUUUAAGUCCUUUUGGUUCCACGCAGUCGUGGCUGCUUUUCAUUGCAACAGCCUCUUCGUGUCCUGAUUAAAGGGAAGGUCUCCACUAAGCAAACAGUCUGGAUGAAUGUGUUUGGAGUGUUGUUUUCUCUUAAAGAUGCUGUGGUAGUGAGAGGUUAUGAAGUGAAGCAAGCUAGUCAUUACCCUGCUGGUUGGGUGGGAGGAGCGAGGAAGAGAGAAGCCUAGGAGAAGCAUUCCCUAAAGCCAGUAACUUGGGGAAAUUUCAUCCUUGUCUCUCAUGGACGGGUCAGCUGUACCUUUUAAAGAGAAUGAGAUUUUUGGUUAUCAGCCACAUUUUUUGAGUUUCAAUUUUCAAGCCUCUUCUGUGACUUACACCACAGCUCAUGGCAACAUCGUGUCUCCAAACCACUGAGCAAGGCUGUGGUUUGAACCCACAUCCUCAUGGAUACUAGUUGGGUUUGUAACCCACUGAGCCACAACAGGCACUCCCCUUUCUUUGGGGUGGAGUUCAUCCUUUUUAAUGCCGGCAGUGGAGUGGGAGAAGCUUUAAGAUGCUUCCCCUGCCCGCCUCCUGCCCAUAUCCUGGCCAAAGAUAGGCUUUUGGCCUCCCCACAGCCAUUGCAAGCCUGGAAACUGACUCCCUAGAAUUUGGCUAUUCCCAAGUAUCAGCCCCGUUUUAUUCUUUGCUUUAAUAUAAGGGGUUGUGCUCUCUGUACCGAGAAAUUGCUCAGUGGGACAGACACAGACUCUAACAGUAGAGUCAUGAAAGUGUUUGAUUUUCCAAAGAACAGAGAAACAGGGUUAAUAAGUGCAGCUCAAACAUGUUUUCAGGAUUCUGCUCACCUAGGGGGUAGACCUGGCAGUUCCAUGGCACGGACCAGUGGUGCUUGCCUGGAACCCAACUGAAUGAUGGUGGGGAAAAUCCCUGGGUAGUUUGCUUCGGGAUAAUUACAAGCUUGGUUUCGGUGAAAAGCAGCUCAGCCGUCUGUAGACAACUAGCUGGUAAAACCAGACUGCCCACUCCAGCCUGAUUUCUUCCGUUCACCUCUUAUGUGUGUACUGGAAAUGCUCCCUUAAAAAAGCAAAAAAGCAUAACCCUGUCAACUAGCAUGUCGGAAACGUCUCAAAUGGUAAAUGAGAAAAUAAACAAUACACAGGACAGCUUUGGCCAGCUCCCCAAACAGUGAAUUUACUUAAUUUCUCACCUACUAUGUGAAUGUAUGCUCCAUUGUACAUACAAUAUGUAAAUAUCCGCAUAAAAGGAGCUCGUGACCCUUCACCCCCUUAGUCCCAUUGAGCUCCCUAAAGCUAGCGCCUUUCAUAUUUGGGGAUGUCUACUUCUAGAUUUUAGAAAAUGCAUUUUCAUACAGAAACAUCUGCACAAAUAUAAUUUCAGAGGGGUCUUUCCCCCUUUUACCUAAGUGGAAUCAUUCUGGAGUGUUCUGCAGAUCCCUUCCCGUAUGGAGGGAUCUUUCCACGUCAGUGCACCUGCAGAUCUGCCUCAUUCCUUCUUAGGAUACCGACUUCUGCUUUCAAGGAGCUUUGGUAAAUUCACAGGUCCGAUACCCCAAGGCUCUUAGACGCUUGUAAGUGCUUAUGAAAUGUUCAGCACUUUUGAGCUCAACUUGAAUAGUUUUCUAAAGUAUUACUAUCUGAUGGCACUCUCCUUCCGCACUUUUAUGAGAAAAAAGUUUCCCUCGGUUUUAUCUUCUUUUAGGAGAAUUUUCAGGAGUGACUUUUGGAUAUUUGUGCUAGGAUCUAAUGUUCUAAAUGCAACAUGGUCAUCUGAAACUAUGCCCUGCUUUUUCUGUAUUUCCACUUGAAAAAAAUAACCUUGGCAAAACUGAGGAAAAAAUAUUAGUUGGAAUUCCCAUUGUGACUCAGGGGAGUUAAGAGCCCAACUGGUAUCCAUGAGGAUGCAGGUUCAAUCCCUGGCCUUGCUCAGUGUGUUAAGGAUUGGGCAUUGCUGUGGCUGUGGUGUAGGCUGGCAGUUGUGGCUCUGAUUGGACCCCUAGCCUGGGAACCUCCAUAUGGCACAGGUGUGGCCCUAAAACAGAGAAAAAAUUAGUUGUAUUGAUCACGUCCUACCACCUGCCCUUUCACUUAAUCUUUUAAGACCCUUCAAUAACUGCAGCAGCAGUAGCUGUAAAAUUAUGUCUAAAAAUUAGUUAUCAUCUGUCUUAAAGUAGAGAGAAUCAUAGUGAGCAAAGAGAACUCUGGUGAGAAAAAGAACCCAGCUAUUUGGGUCAAGAGAAGGCAGAGAACUGCCUUGGAUUUUAUUGAAAAAAAUCCCCUGGAAAAAAUUUAUUGGAAAAAGAGGAUGAAUGGUAGCUGUGGGAAAUUCCAGACAGUGAUCUCCCUAAUUUUUAGGAGCUAUCAUUUAAGGAGAUAUUUUCUUUGAAAUCACUUUAUCAGGCUCUUGUGUGGAUGUAGAAUUUCUGCUGUGAUCUCUGUUCAUUAGCGCUCAGUAAAGUCUGUGAUGAGAUGUCCUAUGUUUACCAUGCUAGCUUAGGAAGGCAACAGCUUUGACUUUUAAAUUGGGACUAUUUUUCACUUUGUAAGAAAAAUGCACUCAGAUCCCACGUUGCUGUGGCUGUGGCGUAGGCCGGUGGCUACAGCUCUGAUUGGACCCCUAGCCUGGGAACCUCCAUAUGCCGCGGGGGCAGCCC
ensembl:lncRNA